rnacentral:misc_RNA from 1 species
GACGGUUGGAAUGUCCAUUGAUCCCAAGCUUCUUCUUUCAAACUUUCCAGUGAUUAUGGGCUCAUUGGGACUUCUAUUAGGUGGCAAGACUAUCUUGGUUGCAUUAAUUGGUAAACUGUUUGGUAUUUCAAUUGUAUCGGCAGUAAGAGUGGGUCUCCUACUUGCUCCGGGUGGAGAGUUUGCCUUCGUAGCCUUUGGUGAAGCUGUCAAUCAGGGAAUAAUGUCUCCUGAAUUGUCAUCUCUGCUGUUUCUUGUGGUUGGAAUUUCAAUGGCUCUCACACCAUAUCUAGCUGCUGGAGGUCAAUUAAUAGCAUCUCGUUUUGAGCUGCAAGAUGUGCGAAGUUUAUUGCCUGAUGAAAGUGAGACAGAUGAUUUGCAAGAUCAUAUCAUUAUUUGUGGAUUUGGUCGCGUUGGCCAGAUCAUUGCCCAACUUCUCUCCGAGCGACUGAUUCCAUUUGUUGCACUUGAUGUGCGAAGUGAGCGUGUUGCAGUUGGUCGUGCACUUGAUCUUCCUGUAUACUUUGGUGAUGCUGGUAGCCGAGAGGUUCUUCAUAAAGUUGGAGCUGAAAGAGCAUGUGCUGCCGCAAUAACAUUAGACACUCCUGGUGCAAAUUACAGAACUGUUUGGGCCUUGAACAAGUACUUUCCCAAUGUGAAAACAUUUGUACGUGCUCAUGAUGUGGAUCAUGGCCUUAAUUUAGAGAAGGCUGGAGCAACAGCGGUUGUGCCUGAGACCUUGGAACCAAGCCUGCAGUUGGCUGCUGCUGUCCUUGCACAAGCUAAGCUGCCAAUGUCGGAGAUAGCAGCAACAAUCAACGAGUUCAGGUCCCGCCACCUCUCUGAGCUUACUGAGCUAUGUGAAACUAGCGGAAGUUCUCUAGGCUAUGGUUUUU